UCCGAGUUGACCCCGGCAGUCUCCCACGAGUCCCCGCCAUUACGCGCUGGCAACAUAGGAUAAGGGUUGCGCUCGUUGCGGGACUUAACCCAACACCUCACGGCACGAGCUGACGACAGCCAUGCACCACCUGUACACAGGCCCCGAAGGGCUGCCGUAUUUCUACGACAUUCCUGUGCAUGUCAAGCCCAGGUAAGGUUCUUCGCGUUGCGUCGAAUUAAACCACAUGCUCCGCUGCCUGUGCGGGCCCCCGUCAGUUCCUUUGAGUUUUAGCCUUGCGGCCGUACUCCCCAGGCGGGGCGCUUAAUGCGUUAGCUACGGCGCGGAAUCCGUGGAAGAACCCCACACCUAGCGCCCAACGUUUACGGCGUGGACUAC
rnacentral:misc_RNA from 1 species